CGGAGAUAUACCAGUGCAAGACACGUGCAGAAAUUUAUUUGGCCCAUCAGAGCUUGUCCAAGAGAAAUCCGUUAAUGUGGUUGGUGGAACCCAGCUCGGAGAAAGGAUGAUUGGGAGUCAAGAAAGUGGGUUGCGCUGACCUCUUGGUUAGCUUGCAUUCUGUAGCUGUCGAAAGUAAGCAUGAGAACUGUGUAUAGGAAGUUCUCAUGUUCAGAAAGGGGUGCUGUUGCGAAAGACCUUUCAAGCAACUCGUGAAACUUGUAAUGC